UAUCAAAUCAAAAUAGGAUAUCUACUGAUAACCAACAAGAGUUGGUCCAGUUGGUAAGGAGUCGGCUCAUAACCCACAAGGUCGUGAGUUCGAAUCCCACUGUCGAUGUGAGGACCUUGUUGGUGGGCGAUCUGUAAGUACCUCUGUAAGCGCUCUCUGAGCCUAGAGGCAUGCCCUGGCCCUGGUGAGCCCCCGGGACCCAACUCACCUAAACUUUUUUCAAUAAAAAAA